rnacentral:tRNA from 1 species
AAUGGAAAUUUCCUCCUUAGA